AUUGAACGCUGGCGGCAUGCUUUACACAUGCAAGUCGAACGGUAACAGGGUAAGCUGACGAGUGGCGAACUGGGGAGUAAUGCAUCGGAACGUGCCCGAUCGUGGGGGAUACCGCAGCGAAAGCGGCGCUAAUACCGCAUACGAUCUGAGGAUGAAAGAGGGGGACGGUAAAGCCUCGCGCGAACGGAGCGGCCGAUGUCAGAUUAGGUGGUUGGUGGGGUAAAGGCUAACCAAGCCAACGAUCUGUAGCUGGUCUGAGAGGACGACCAGCCACACUGGGACUGAGACACGGCCCAGACUCCUACGGGAGGCAGCAGUGGGGAAUUUUGGACAAUGGGCGAAAGCCUGAUCCAGCAAUGCCGCGUGCAGGAAGAAGGCCUUCGGGUUGUAAACUGCUUUUGUACGGAGCGAAAAGGCUCUCUCUAAUACAGGGGGCUCAUGACGGUACCGUAAGAAUAAGCACCGGCUAACUACGUGCCAGCCGCCGCAGUAA
rnacentral:rRNA from 1 species